rnacentral:rRNA from 1 species
GACGAACGCUGGCGGAGUGCUUAACACAUGCAGGUCGAACGGAAAGGCCCUGCUUUUGUGGGGUGCUCGAGUGGCGAACGGGUGAGUAACACGUGAGUAACCUGCCCUUGACUUUGGGAUAACUUCAGGAAACUGGGGCUAAUACCGGAUAGGAGCUCCUGCUGCAUGGUGGGGGUUGGAAAGUUUCGGCGGUUGGGGAUGGACUCGCGGCUUAUCAGCUUGUUGGUGGGGUAGUGGCUUACCAAGGCUUUGACGGGUAGCCGGCCUGAGAGGGUGACCGGCCACAUUGGGACUGAGAUACGGCCCAGACUCCUACGGGAGGCAGCAGUGGGGAAUAUUGCACAAUGGGCGGAAGCCUGAUGCAGCAACGCCGCGUGCGGGAUGACGGCCUUCGGGUUGUAAACCGCUUUCGCCUGUGACGAAGCGUGAGUGACGGUAAUGGGUAAAGAAGCACCGGCUAACUACGUG